UCGGACGUGGUGCAUGGUGCACACCCGCCCUCGAAUGCUGCUUGAAUUCCGGUUAAUCAAGCGGGGAGUCUGGGUUCGAUUCCCAGCGUCCGGG